rnacentral:rRNA from 1 species
AUUGGACAAUGGGGGGCACCCUGAUCCAGCGACGCCGCGUGAGUGAAGAAGUAUCUCGGUAUGUAAAGCUCUAUCAGCAGGGAAGAAAGACAUGACGGUACCUGAGUAAGAAGCCCCGGCUAACUACCUGCCAGCAGUCGCGGUAAUACGUAGGGGGCAAGCGUUAUUCGGAAUUACUGGGUGUAAACGGAGCGUAGACGGUGAUGUAAGUCUGGAGUGAAAGGCGGGGGCCCAACCCCCGGACUGCUCUGGAAACUAUGUGACUGGAGUGCAGGAGAGGUGAGCGGAAUUCCUAGUGUAGCGGUGAAAUGCGUAGAUAUUAGGAGGAACACCAGUGGCGAAGGCGGCUCACUGGACUGUAACUGACGUUGAGGCUCGAAAGCGUGGGGAGCAAACAGG